rnacentral:rRNA from 1 species
AUUGAACGCUGGCGGCAUGGCUAAAACAUGCAAGUCGAACGUGUGUAGCAAUACACAAGUGGCGAAAGGGUCAGUAAUGCGAUCGAAUGUACCCUGAGGUGGGGGAUAGCUACGGGAAACUGUAGGUAAUACCCCAUGAUCUCUCCGGAGCAAAGGUUUACCGCCUUGGGAGCAGCGAUCGUCCUAUCAGGUAGUUGACGGGGUAACGGCCCACCAAGCCGAAGACGGGUAGCGGGUGUGAGAGCACGCCGCGACAUCGGAACGUGAGACACUGUCCGGACUUCUACGGAAGGCUGCAGUAAC